rnacentral:rRNA from 1 species
UGGCGGACGGGUGAGUAAUGUCUGGGAAACUGCCUGAUGGAGGGGGAUAACUACUGGAAACGGUAGCUAAUACCGCAUAACGUCGCAAGACCAAAGAGGGGGACCUUCGGGCCUCUUGCCAUCGGAUGUGCCCAGAUGGGAUUAGCUUGUAGGUGGGGUAACGGCUCACCUAGGCGACGAUCCCUAGCUGGUCUGAGAGGAUGACCAGCCACACUGGAACUGAGACACGGUCCAGACUCCUACGGGAGGCAGCAGUGGGGAAUAUUGCACAAUGGGCGCAAGCCUGAUGCAGCCAUGCCGCGUGUAUGAAGAAGGCCUUCGGGUUGUAAAGUACUUUCAGCGGGGAGGAAGGGAGUAAAGUUAAUACCUUUGCUCAUUGACGUUACCCGCAGAAGAAGCACCGGCUAACUCCGUGCCAGCAGCCGCGGUAAUACGGAGGGUGCAAGCGUUAAUCGGAAUUACUGGGCGUAAAGCGCACGCAGGCGGUUUGUUAAGUCAGAUGUGAAAUCCCCGGGCUCAACCUGGGAACUGCAUCUGAUACUGGCAAGCUUGAGUCUCGUAGAGGGGGGGUAGAAUU